rnacentral:rRNA from 1 species
AGCGAACGCUGGCGGCGUGCCUAACACAUGCAAGUCGAACGUGAAAAGGGAAACCUGAGUAAAGUGGCGUACGGGUGAGUAACGCGUAGGUAAUCUACCCCAGAAUCUGGAAUAACCUGCCGAAAGGCGGGCUAAUACUGGAUAGAGCGAGGGAACUCGUAAGAGAGUUUUUCGGGAAAGGGAGCCCGCAAGGGCCUUCGUUCUGGGAUGAGCCUGCGUCUCAUUAGCUAGUUGGUAAGGUAACGGCUUACCAAGGCGAUGAUGAGUAGCUGGUCUGAGAGGAUGAUCAGCCACACUGGAACUGAAACACGGUCCAGACUCCUACGGGAGGCAGCAGUGGGGAAUCUUGCGCAAUGGACGAAAGUCUGACGCAGCCACGCCGCGUGAGUGAAGAAGGCCUUCGGGUUGUAAAGCUCUGUCGGAUGGGACGAACAUCUUCAUAGUGAAGAGCUAUGAGGACUGACGGUACCAUCAAAGGAAGCACCGGCUAACUCCGU